rnacentral:misc_RNA from 1 species
UCCGAGUUGACCCCGGCAGUCUUCGAUGAGUCCCCGGCAUAACCCGCUGGCAACAUCGAACGAGGGUUGCGCUCGUUGCGGGACUUAACCCAACAUCUCGCGACACGAGCUGACGACAGCCAUGCAGCACCUGUGCAGGAUCUCCGAAGAGGGGCUCUCGUUUCUGAGAGCUUGCUCCUGCAUGUCAAGCCUAGGUAAGGUUCUUCGCGUUGCGUCGAAUUAAACCACAUGCUCCACCGCUUGUGCGGGCCCCCGUCAAUUCCUUUGAGUUUCAGCCUUGCGACUGUACUCCCCAGGCGGCAUAUUUAACGCGUUAGCUCCGGCACCCAGAGGGUCGCUCCCCCAGGCACCUAGUACCCAUCGUUUACGGCGUGGACUAC